UGAAAACUCAGAAGAUGGCGCACAGAAU
rnacentral:piRNA from 1 species